rnacentral:rRNA from 1 species
UACGAAGGGGGCUAGCGUUGCUCGGAAUCACUGGGCGUAAAGGGUGCGUAGGCGGGUUUCUAAGUCAGAGGUGAAAGCCUGGAGCUCAACUCCAGAACUGCCUUUGAUACUGGAAGUCUUGAGUUCGGGAGAGGUGAGUGGAACUGCGAGUGUAGAGGUGAAAUUCGUAGAUAUUCGGAAGAACACCAGUGGCGAAGGCGACACACUGGCUCAUUACUGACGCUGAGGCUCGAAAGCGUGGGGAGCAAACAGG